CCCGCGGGGUCGGUCGGCCUCCCCGACUGCCGCGGCGGCGGCGGCGGAGCCGGGGGCUUUG
rnacentral:miRNA from 1 species